rnacentral:rRNA from 1 species
UACGUAGGGUGCUAGCGUUGUUCGGAAUCAUUGGGCGUAAAGCGCGUGUAGGUGGUUAUCUAAGUCAGAUGUGAAAUCCCUAGGCUCAACCAAGGAAGUGCAUUUGAAACUAGUUAACUAGAAGAUGGUAGAGGAAGGUGGAAUUCCAGGUGUAGAGGUGAAAUUCGUAGAUAUCUGGAGGAAUACCGGUGGCGAAGGCGGCCUUCUGGACCAUCCUUGACACUAAGACGCGAAAGCGUGGGUAGCAAACAGG